GAUUCUGGCUCAGGAUGAACGCUAGCUACAGGCUUAACACAUGCAAGUCGAGGGGCAGCAUUGGAGUAGCAAUACUUCAGAUGGCGACCGGCGCACGGGUGAGUAACACGUAUCCAACCUGCCGCUUACUCGGGGAUAGCCUUUCGAAAGAAAGAUUAAUACCCGAUGGUAUAAAGAGUUCGCAUGUUCUCUUUAUUAAAGAAUUUCGGUAAGCGAUGGGGAUGCGUUCCAUUAGAUAGUUGGCGGGGUAACGGCCCACCAAGUCUACGAUGGAUAGGGGUUCUGAGAGGAAGGUCCCCCACAUUGGAACUGAGACACGGUCCAAACUCCUACGGGAGGCAGCAGUGAGGAAUAUUGGUCAAUGGACGAGAGUCUGAACCAGCCAAAGUAGCGUGAAGGAUGACUGCCCUAUGGGUUGUAAACUUCUUUUAUAAGGGAAUAAAGUGAGGGACGUGUCCCUUUUUGUAUGUACCUUAUGAAUAAGGAUCGGCUAACUCCGUGCCAGCCGCCGC
rnacentral:rRNA from 1 species